rnacentral:rRNA from 1 species
UACAGAGGGUGCAAGCGUUGUCCGGAAUCACUGGGCGUAAAGGGCGCGUAGGCGGCCUGAUAAGUCGGGGGUGAAAUUCUGCGGCUUAACCGCAGGACGGCCUUCGAGACUGUCGGGCUUGAGCACGGUAGAGGCAGGUGGAAUUCCCGGUGUAGCGGUGGAAUGCGUAGAGAUCGGGAAGAACAUCGUGGCGAAGGCGGCCUGCUGGGCCGUUGCUGACGCUGAGGCGCGACAGCGUGGGGGAGCAAACAGG